AUGGCUUCCUUCUCCUCUUCCUCUACUAGCGUGAUCACCGUCCUCUUGCUGCUCUUGCCCGUCCUCCUUGCGCCGCCGGCGAGUGCCGUCCCUGUACUUGCCGCAUGCAAGACCGUCGGCGGCGGGAGCACCUACUUCGACGUCACGUUCUGCCUGGAGGCCCUAGGCUCCGUCGGCGGUGGCGGUCUCUACCGAGACCUCGCCGCCGCUGCCGUGGGCCUCCUCGCUGCCAACGCCACCAGCACGGAGGCCAAGAUCGGCCGUCAGCUUGGGGAGAGCGGCGUGAAGAUUAAGGCGGGGGACGCGGCCCUGGCGCGGCCCCUCCGGUCGUGCCUGUCGCUGUACGGCGGUAUAGUGCACGGUGGGCCUGCGUGCGCUGCCGCGGUCAAGGGCGGGAAGUUCGGCGAUGCGACGGCGAUCCUGGAGAAGGCAGCGGCCGCAGCGAAGGAGUGCGAGGACGGGUUCAGGAGGAGCAACGCGGCUUCGCCGCUGACGGCGGAGGACGAUGACGCGUUCAAGCUCGCAAAGCUCGGCGUCGCGUUGCUCGGUUUCGCUUGA
rnacentral:rRNA from 1 species